GUCCCUGUAGAUCACGGCAGAUCAUCCCAGGUCAAUUAUAGGUGACUUCGUAGUGUUGGGACGCCGGCGGUUCGACUCCGCCCGGGGACA